rnacentral:rRNA from 1 species
UACGUAGGGACCAAGCGUUGUUCGGAUUUACUGGCGUAAAGGGCGCGUAGGCGGCGUGUUAAGUCAGCUGUGAAAUCUCCGAGCUUAACUCGGAACGGUCAGCUGAUACUGAGUGCUAGAGUGCAGAAGGGGCAUCGGAAUUUCUUGGUGUAGCGGUUGAAAUGCGUAGAUAUCAGGAAGAACCACCCCGUGGCGAAAGGCGGGCUCUUC